GACGUAGGGCGCGAGCGUUGUCCGGAUUUAUUGGGCGUAAAGAGCUCGUAGGCGGUGUGUCGCGUCGGCCGUGAAAACCUGCAGCUUAACUGUGGGCGUGCGGUCGAUACGGGCAGACUGGAGUACUGCAGGGGAGACUGGAAUUCCUGGUGUAGCGGUGGAAUGCGCAGAUAUCAGGAGGAACACCAGUGGCGAAGGCGACUUACUGGACACAUAUUGACGCUGAGGUGCGAAAGCGUGGGGAGCAAACAGG
rnacentral:rRNA from 1 species